UACAGAGGGUGCGAGCGUUAAUCGGAAUUACUGGGCGUAAAGCGUGCGUAGACGGUUACAUAAGUCGGGUGUGAAAUCCCCGGGCUUAACCUGGGAACUGCAUUUGUGACUGCAGGGCUGGAGUGCGGCAGAGGGGGAUGGAAUUCCGCGUGUAGCAGUGAAAUGCGUAGAUAUGCGGAGGAACACCGAUGGCGAAGGCAAUCCCCUGGGCCUGCACUGACGCUCAUGCACGAAAGCGUGGGGAGCAAACAGG
rnacentral:rRNA from 1 species